rnacentral:rRNA from 1 species
GACGAACGCUGGCGGCGUGCUUAACACAUGCAAGUCGAACGAGGACCAAGGAGCUUGCUCCUUGUAGCCGAGUGGCGAACGGGUGAGUAACACGUGACCAACCUGGCUUCGAGAGGGGGACAACCCGGGGAAACCUGGGCUAAUACCGCAUGACGUUCUCUUUUCGCAUGAUUUGAGAAUCAAAGGGGGGCCUCUGCUUGCAAGCUCUCGCUCGAAGGGGGGGUCGCGCUGUAUCAGCUUGUUGGUGGGGUAACGGCCUACCAAGGCUAUGACGCAUAGCGGGUCUGAGAGGACGACCCGUCACAUUGGGACUGAGAUACGGCCCAGACUCCUACGGGAGGCAGCAGUGGGGAAUAUUGCGCAAUGGGCGAAAGCCUGACGCAGCGACGCCGCGUGCGGGAGGAAGCCUUUCGGGGUGUAAACCGCUGUCAGGGGGGAAGAACCCUGGUGUUGGGAAUACCUUCACCAGUUGACGGUACCUCCAGAGGAAGCGCCGGCUAACUCCGUGCCAGCAGCCGCGGUAAGACGGAGGGCGCAAGCGUUGUUCGGAAUUACUGGGCGUAAAGAGCGCGUAGGCGGCCGGUUAAGUCAAAUGUGAAAUUCCGGGGCUCAACCCCGGAAAUGCAUUUGAUACUGGCAGACUCGAGACUGGUAGAGGCUAGCGGAAUUCCUGGUGUAGCGGUG